GCCGCUGAGCUUGGACCCCGACCAGAAGAUAGAGAUUGAAACGAUGAGGAAAACGAAGUGCCUAAUCCCCGCUGGACGCUAACUGCAGGGCAAGCUCCCCAGUGUUGUAGUUGUGUUUCGGAGGCCGAGAACCGCUAUCGGGCUUCCUCGGACUCUGGCCCUGGAGGGGGGAAACGGCGAGGGAGAAGGCGAAACGAGUCUCCAGUGUGUUCUUGGGGCCUGGUGCGAGGCCCAGAGAAUUCUCUGCAGGCCUUUGCCCGGGCACUGAUUAAGGCUGCGAAGAGACGCACCGGGCUGCGGGCUUAGUAGCUUCAGGCUUCUGAAGUCAGAGGGAGGGCUGAGAGCUUACACUUCUGGAGCUCCCCGGGAGACGGCAACUACCCAACCGUGUGGGAACAUGGAGGAGACAUAUUUCCACCUAUUUCUCUCCAUAAGUAUAAAAGACCAUAAAAGACCAUCUAGGGACUUCAGAACCCAAAUAAUGACACAAUGUUAAUUUGCAGGUUCUCCCUCUGCCUGCCACC
rnacentral:lncRNA from 1 species